rnacentral:ncRNA from 1 species
AAGUUUAAAGUGAAAGUGAAGUCGCUCAGUCGUGUCGGACUCUUAGCGACCGCAUGGACUGCAGCCCGCCAGGCUCCUCCGUCCAUGGGAUUUUCCAGGCAAGAGUACUGGAGCGGGGUGCCAUCGGUCGGCCAGGCGCGGCGCGGCGCCUCGCCUCGGCCGGUGCCUAGCAGCCGACUUAGAACUGGUGCGGACCAGGGGAAUCCGACUGUUUAAUUAAAACAAAGCAUAGCGAAGGCCCGCAGCGGGUGUUGACGCGAUGUGAUUUCUGCCUAUUGCUCUGAAUGUUAAAGUGAAGAAAUUCAAUGAAGCGCGGGUAAACGGCGGGAGUAACUAUGACUCUCUUAAGGUAGCCAAAUGCCUCCUCAUCUAAUUAGUGACGCGCAUGAAUGGAUGAACGAGAUUCCCACUGUCCCUACCUACUAUCCAGCGAAACCACAGCCAAGGGAACGGGCUUGG